UACGAAGGUGGCAAGCGUUGUUCGGAUUUACUGGGCGUACAGGGAGCGUAGGCGGUUGGGUAAGCCCUCCGUGAAAUCUCCGGGCCUAACCCGGAAAGUGCGGAGGGGACUGCUCGGCUAGAGGAUGGGAGAGGAGCGCGGAAUUCCCGGUGUAGCGGUGAAAUGCGUAGAGAUCGGGAGGAAGGCCGGUGGCGAAAGGCGGCGCUCUGGAACAUUUCUGACGCUGAGGCUCGAAAAGCGUGGGGGAGCGAACAGG
rnacentral:rRNA from 1 species